AAGACUAUAUUUUCAGGAAUCAUUUCUUUAGUUGUAGAUUUGAGAAAUGUGUUUCUGAAGAGUUUGUUCUCACUGUCCAGAAUGAAAAUUUAAGAUGUUUCCUAUAAGGUAAGAAACUGGUGGGAAGAAUUUGUUUCUUCUCCACUGUUGUAGACUGUUCAGAGUUUCUGAAAGACUUACUGAUGGAGGAAACAUGAUCUGAGUGAA